rnacentral:rRNA from 1 species
UACGUAGGGGGCAAGCGUUGUCCGGAAUCAUUGGGCGUAAAGAGCGUGUAGGCGGCCACUUAAGUCCUGCGUGAAAUCUUGCGGCUCAACCGCAAGCGGUCGUGGGAAACUGGGUGGCUAGAGUGCGGGAGAGGAGAGUGGAAUUUCUGGUGUAGCGGUGGAAUGCGCAGAUAUCAGGAGGAACACCGGUGGCGAAGGCGGGAUCCUGGGCCAGUACUGACGCUGAGGAGCGAAAGCGUGGGGAGCAAACAGG